UAGUGCCAAUNAGUCAAAUGNGAAUNCCCGAGCUUAACUUGGAANUGCAUUCGAUACUNGUUGGCUAGAGUAUGGGAGAGGAUGGUAGAAUUNCCANGUGUAGCNGUGNAAAUGCGUAGAGAUNUNGAGGAAUACCGAUGGCGAAGGCAGCCAUCUGGCCUAAUACUGACACUGAGGUGCGAAAGCAUGGGGAGCAAACAGGAUUAGAUACCCUGGUAGUCCAUGCCGUAAACGAUGUCUACUAGCCGUUGGGGCCUUUGAGGCUUUAGUGGCGCAGCUAACGCGAUAAGUAGACCGCCUGGGGAGUACGGUCGCAAGACUAAAACUCAAAUGAAUUGACGGGGGCCCGCACAAGCGGU
rnacentral:rRNA from 1 species